rnacentral:lncRNA from 1 species
AUCUUGACCCCAAAGUAUGUCAGAUCCGCCACAAAUACAGUAAAUUCACUGUUCACACAGACAGAGCCUCCCCUAUAUUUGCACGGCGUCGCACAAGUACAAGAUACAACUACAAAUAUAUGAGCAUCCACAUACAUUCACCAUUCACAUUCACAUUCGUUUCAUCACAGAUAUACAUAAAUUCACAUCUAUUAGUUUAAAAUAUUUUCUACCCAGAAACUCAUUUUAAAACACUAAGAGUAAUGAAAACUAAUAAAAAAUCUUUUCAAAACCGUUUCCCACAUGAAAAAUUUUUUUUUUUUUAAACACAUUACCACGAGGGAUAGAAAAUCGUUUUCAUCUCAUGAAAAUCAUAAGUUCUUUAUUACAUUCACAAAAUCGUACUUAUCCAGUUUACGUGAAACCAACUGAACCAUAAAUACUAAGUUAAUUAAUUAUGUUACGA